rnacentral:rRNA from 1 species
UUAAGAGCUUGCUCUUAUGAAGUCUUAGCGGCGGACGGGUGAGUAACACGUGGGUAACCUGCCCAUAAGACUGGGAUAACUCCGGGAAACCGGGGCUAAUACCGGAUAACAUUUUGAACUGCAUGGUUCGAAAUUGAAAGGCGGCUUCGGCUGUCACUUAUGGAUGGACCCGCGUCGCAUUAGCUAGUUGGUGAGGUAACGGCUCACCAAGGCAACGAUGCGUAGCCGACCUGAGAUCGGGUGAUCGGCCACACUGGGACUGAGACACGGCCCAGACUCCUACGGGAGGCAGCAGUAGCUGGAAUCUUCCGCAAUGGACGAAAGUCUGACGGAGCAACGCCGCGUGAGUGAUGAAGGCUUUCGGGUCGUAAAACUCUGUUGUUAGGGAAGAACAAGUGCUAGUUGAAUAAGCUGGCACCUUGAAUACGGUACCUAACCAGAAAGCCACGGCUAACUACGUGCCAGCAGCCUGCGGUAAUCGACGUAGGUGGCAAGCGUUAUCCGGAAUUAUUGGGCGU